GUAGGGCGCGAGCGUUGUCCGGAUUUAUUGGGCGUAAAGAGCUCGUAGGCGGCUUGUCGCGUCGUCCGUGAAAACCCACAGCUCAACUGUGGGCUUGCGGUCGAUACGGGCAGGCUAGAGUUCGGUAGGGGAGACUGGAAUUCCUGGUGUAGCGGUGAAAUGCGCAGAUAUCAGGAGGAACACCGGUGGCGAAGGCGGGUCUCUGGGCCGAUACUGACGCUGAGGAGCGAAAGCGUGGGGAGCGAACAGG
rnacentral:rRNA from 1 species